rnacentral:lncRNA from 1 species
AGAGGGGUAAGCUUUAUAGCUUAGUAAGUCCAUAUGAAAAUAAUGAGCAAUUUAUUAACAUGAUUUUACCAAAUUCUUACAACAUGUUCUCAUUGUAACACAAUCGAAUUUAUACAUAAUUCCACUAUUUGCUCAUAUUCUAGUCAAGCUGUCUACUUGAGUCAUAGUUACUAAAUUAUUUAUAUCUGGAGCUAUGGAACUCCAAAUUAAGAUCCGCUAACUUUAUAUGAAACUAGACUCAUAUAUCUUCUU